UGCUUUCCUUUUAUUCUUUGCAUAUGCUUUAUGGAUGCUGAGAAUGCUUAAUGAUUUAUGUUGUAAGAGCUUUGUGCCUUUGACAUCGUCGUGGUCUACUUAGUUUCCUCUGUGAAUAUUGUAGGUUAUGCUAUGCUUAUGUGAUGUACUUUCAAGGUUAAUCGAGCAAUGAAUUGUGUAUUUCGCUCGUAUCUGAAUUAUUAAUGUGUUACUUUUCUGAACAAA